rnacentral:rRNA from 1 species
CAUGCAGUCGAACGGCAGCACGGACUUCGGUCUGGUGGCGAGUGGCGAACGGGUGAGUAAUGUAUCGGAACGUGCCUAGUAGCGGGGGAUAACUACGCGAAAGCGUAGCUAAUACCGCAUACGCCCUACGGGGGAAAGCAGGGGAUCGCAAGACCUUGCACUAUUAGAGCGGCCGAUAUCGGAUUAGCUAGUUGGUGGGGUAACGGCUCACCAAGGCGACGAUCCGUAGCUGGUUUGAGAGGACGACCAGCCACACUGGGACUGAGACACGGCCCAGACUCCUACGGGAGGCAGCAGUGGGGAAUUUUGGACAAUGGGGGAAACCCUGAUCCAGCCAUCCCGCGUGUGCGAUGAAGGCCUUCGGGUUGUAAAGCACUUUUGGCAGGAAAGAAACGUCAUGGGYUAAUACCCCGUGAAACUGACGGUACCUGCAGAAUAAGCACCGGCUAACUACGUGCCAGCAGCCGCGGUAAUACGUAGGGUGCAAGCGUUAAUCGGAAUUACUGGGCGUAAAGCGUGCGCAGGCGGUUCGGAAAGAAAGAUGUGAAAUCCCAGAGCUUAACUUUGGAACUGCAUUUUUAACUACCGAGCUAGAGUGUGUCAGAGGGAGGUGGAAUUCCGCGUGUAGCGGUGAAAUGGC